rnacentral:rRNA from 1 species
AUUGAACGCUGGCGGCAUGCCUUACACAUGCAAGUCGAACGGGAACAGGUCUUCGGAUGCUGACGAGUGGCGAACGGGUGAGUAAUACAUCGGAACGUGCCUAGUAGUGGGGGAUAACUACUCGAAAGAGUGGCUAAUACCGCAUGAGAUCUACGGAUGAAAGCAGGGGAUCGCAAGACCUUGUGCUACUAGAGCGGCCGAUGGCAGAUUAGGUAGUUGGUGGGAUAAAAGCUUACCAAGCCGACGAUCUGUAGCUGGUCUGAGAGGACGAUCAGCGCAACUGGGACGGAGACACGGCCCAGACGCCUACGGGAGGCAGCAGUGGGGAAUUUUGGGCAAUGGGCGCAAGCCUGAUCCAGCAAUGCCGCGUGCAGGAUGAAGGCCUUCGGGUUGUAAACUGCUUUUGUACGGAACGAAAAGCCCCGGGUUAAUACCCUGGGGUCAUGACGGUACCGUAAGAAUAAGCACCGGCUAACUACGUGCCAGCCGCCGCGGUAA